GCGGAGGAAAAGAAACCAACAGGGAUUGCCUCAGUAACGGCGAGUGAAGCGGCAACAGCUCAAAUUUGAAAUCUGGCCUCUUUGGGGUCCGAGUUGUAAUUUGUAGAGGAUGUUUCGGGUACCGCCUCGGUUUAAAUUUCUUGGAACAGAAUGUCAAAGAGGGUGAGAAUCCCGUCUUGGACCGGCGGUAGGGCCCAUGUGAAACUCCUUCGACGAGUCGAGUUGUUUGGGAAUGCAGCUCAAAAUGGGUGGUAAAUUUCAUCUAAAGCUAAAUAUUGGCCAGAGACCGAUAGCGCACAAGUAGAGUGAUCGAAAGAUGAAAAGCACUUUGAAAAGAGAGUUAAACAGUAUGUGAAAUUGUUGAAAGGGAAGCGCUUACAACCAGACUUGCGCGCGGCGGUUCCCCCUUCCUUUUGGUUGGGCUACUCCGUCGUGUCCAGGCCAACAUCGGUUCUGGGGGUCGGUUAAAGACCUUGGGAAUGUACCUACCCUUCGGGCGUAGACUUAUAGCCCAGGGUGUCAUGCGACCUCCCGGGACCGAGGAACGCGCUUCGGCUCGGAUGUUGGCGUAAUGGUUGUCAGCGACCCGUCUUGAAACACGGACCAAGGAGUCUAACAUCUAUGCGAGUGUUUGGGUGUCAAACCCGGAACGCGAAAUGAAAGUGAACGGAGGUAGGAAGCCGUGAGGCUGCACUAUCGACCGAUCCUGAUGUCUUCGGAUGGAUUUGAGUAAGAGCAUAGCUGUUGGGACCCGAAAGAUGGUGAACUAUGCCUGAAUAGGGUGAAGCCAGAGGAAACUCUGGUGGAGGCUCGCAGCGGUUCUGACGUGCAAAUCGAUCGUCAAACCUGGGUAUAG
rnacentral:rRNA from 1 species